CCUACGGGUGGCUGCAGUGGGGAAUUUUGGACAAUGGGGGCAACCCUGAUCCAGCCAUUCCGCGUGAGUGAAGAAGGCCUUCGGGUUGUAAAGCUCUUUUGUCCGGAGCGAAACGGGCGGCCCUAAUACGGUCGUCUACUGACGGUACCGGAAGAAUAAGCACCGGCUAACUACGUGCCAGCAGCCGCGGUAAUCCGUAGGGUGCGACCGUUCGUCGGGAUUGCGCGGGGGGAAGUGUGCGCCGGCUGUUAAAUCCCCGGGCUCAACCUGGGAAUGGCAUUUGGGACUGUAAGGCUGGAGUGUGGCAGAGGGGACUAGAAUUCCUGGUGUAGCAGUGAAAUGCGUAGAUAUCAGGAGGAAUACCGAUGGCGAAGGCAGGUCCCUGGGUUAACACUGACGCUCAUGCACGAAAGCGUGGGGAGCAAACAGGAUUAGAUACCCCUGUAGUC
rnacentral:rRNA from 1 species